UAAGAAGGUCAUGGUCUAGGACACUGAGGAUAUAAAUUGAGAGCCGGGAAAGAGAAGGUCUGAAAUACUCCAGUCUGACCCGGAAGGAGCCACAGCCCAGGAAGAGAUCUCCCUGCAGACAGAGCUUCUACAGUAGAACAACUAAAUUUAACAGCUCCAUUGAGACAACUGAAAAGGAAAACAAACAAACAAACAAAAAAAAAUCCACAGACAUCCUACACACAACAUUUUCUAUUUUAGAAUCAAGGCCUCCUCGAAAAGAGACACCCCCUUUGAAAUAACAACUCACCUGUGAAGAAAAUAUCAACUGACCUUCUGGUGAUGCAGCCAAAUCUGAUUGACAUGUUUGUUGGCUCCCUAUUUUGAGAUAGAGAAAGGCUGAGACAAGGCUUACUCAAAAUCCUGAAACUCACCAGUAUUUGAUCCUAGUGAGGAGCACAAAAGCUGUGAAGAUAUGUUUCAGAGUAAGCAUUAUUCCAUCAGGGACUUUGGCAAGCUGAUCUGGUUGUCAGAUCUCCAUAUAUAGUAGUAAAUCCAGACAGACCACCCAAAAGCAUCAUAUUCUCUCCAGUACAGUG